rnacentral:lncRNA from 1 species
UGCCAAAGCUUCAUGGAUAUCUGUAAUGUGAUAGGCUGCUUCAAGAUCCUUAGGUAAUCGGCUGUGAUCUGCUGAAUCCACCACAAAGAUCAGCAGCAAUCCCUUGGAUAGGUACAUUUCCCAGUAGGACCGAAAAGGUUUACUGCCACCAACUACAGAGGCUUACUCUCCAGGAACUCCAUCUGGCUGUCUUCAGUGUUGAUGCAAACUGCAUGGAAACCUUGGGUGGGUGCCACACUGUGCUGGACUCUGUUUGAAGCUAGAGAGUGCAGGACACUGGUUUUUCCUGCUCCAUCCAGGCCCAGCACUAGGAUUUGCUUGUUUUUCUCCUGUGAAACAAA